rnacentral:rRNA from 1 species
UACGUAGGGCGCAAGCGUUGUCCGGAAUUAUUGGGCGUAAAGAGCUCGUAGGCGGUCUGUCGCGUCUGCCGUGAAAACCCGAGGCCUUAACCUCGGGCUGGCGGUGGAUACGGGCAGGACUAGAGGUAGGUAGGGGAGAAUGGAAUUCCCGGUGUAGCGGUGAAAUGCGCAGAUAUCGGGAGGAACACCGGUGGCGAAGGCGGUUCUCUGGGCAGUAACUGACGCUGAGGAGCGAAAGCGUGGGGAGCGAACAGG